rnacentral:lncRNA from 1 species
UGGCAUUACCCACUAUCACUACCUUUUAUGUAGAACCCAAGGUUCCAAAGGAAGAAACCAAACCUAUCAAGAAAGAACCCAAGACUCCAAAGGUGGAAGCCAAACCUAUAAAGAAAGAACCCAAGAUUCCAGAGGAGGAGCCCAAAUCUAUAAAGAAAGGUAUUUCAUAUGUCUUGCAAGAACUUCAAUUAGUACAGCAGCACCCAUUAUUAGUACUACAUCUUUCUGCAGAACUAGAUAUUCUAAAGGAGGAACCCAAGAAAGGUAUUUGGCAUAUCAUUUUGAAUCCCUGGUAACAAAUCCCAGCAUUACCAGUUUUUUUAAUAAUUAA